GGGGAUGUAGCUCAAAUGGUAGAGCGCUCGAGGCACGGGGUUUGAUCCCUCGCAUCUCCA
rnacentral:tRNA from 1 species